AAUCAACGCUGGCGGCGUGCCUAACACAUGCAAGUCGAGCGAGAAAGUGGAGCAAUCCAUGAGUAAAGCGGCGACCGGGUGAGUAACACGUGACUAACCUACCUUCGAGUGGGGAAUAACUCCGGGAAACCGGGGCUAAUACCGCAUAACAUCGAAAGAUCAAAGCAGCAAUGCGCUUGAAGAGGGGGUCGGCGGCGUGAUU
rnacentral:rRNA from 1 species